GUGGCACACUCUCAAGUUCAACAAAUGGCCACAGAGGGCGAAAAAAUCGACCGCGCGGCGCUGCUAAAGAAACAGGCAUAGUACGCCAAUUAAAAAGGUUCCCCGUUGAGCGCAUUAUCUCCCGCUAGAGGCGCCGUAGUAAGCGCAAUUUUAACCUUCAAACUUUCUUCAACAGUAAACGAAGCGUUUUUAUCGCAUGAUAAAGACUACAAAAGUAUAAUUCCUAAUUUUACAUUGUACUUUUCAUUACCAACUUUGUUGUUUUUUGUCAUUUUAAACGCAAAAUAGCGUUCAGCAUCAUCGACCUCCCACGUGACCUCUGGCCUGGAUUUAAAAUUUUUACCGGUAUGUUCGCGUGCACGGCAGGUACGGAUUCCUUGGUUCGUACAUUUGUUGGUUAAUUUGUGCUAACACCAGUUUAUUGCGCUUCGAUAUCUCGCGUUAUUUAACUUGGGGUGUAAGCCUGAAAGCUAGGUUUCAGUCGUGAGCCAUGUGGAACACGUCUGCAUCGAAAUGGGAGCCGGGUCCUGCUGCGACUGGGGACAGCAAUACCGACAUGCAGUAAUGAGGAUGGCACCAGUAUAAAGCAACACACUCCAUGCACUAAACAGAAGCUGCUGCCUGCUACAACAAGGUCAUUGUGUGGACUUUGGCUGCUACUACAAGAGUCUGUGCCAAGUACAUCUUGGUCAUCACGGGAGCCCCCAUCUACACCAACAGGAAGGGGC